UACGUAGGGCGCGAGCGUUGUCCGGAAUUAUUGGGCGUAAAGAGCUCGUAGGUGGCUUGUCGCGUCUGCCGUGAAAGACUUGGGCUUAACUCGGGUUCUGCGGUGGAUACGGGCUGGCUAGAGGCAGGCAGGGGAGAACGGAAUUCCUGGUGUAGCGGUGAAAUGCGCAGAUAUCAGGAGGAACACCAGUAGCGAAGGCGGCUCGCUGGGCCAUUCCUGACGCUGAGACGCGACAGCGUGGGGAGCAAACAGG
rnacentral:rRNA from 1 species